UACGAAGGGGGCUAGCGUUGCUCGGAAUCACUGGGCGUAAAGGGUGCGUAGGCGGGUCUUUAAGCCAGGGGUGAAAUCCUGGAGCUCAACUCCAGAACUGCCUUUGAUACUGAGGAUCUUGAGUUCGGGAGAGGUGAGUGGAACUGCGAGUGUAGAGGUGAAAUUCGUAGAUAUUCGCAAGAACACCAGUGGCGAAGGCGGCUCACUGGCCCGAUACUGACGCUGAGGCACGAAAGCGUGGGGAGCAAACGGG
rnacentral:rRNA from 1 species